CUUCAAUUCCUCCAUCUCUCAGUUUCUUUACUGCUUCAUCUACAUUUUCCUGUAAAAUGAAAUAGACACUACCUAAAGUCAAAUCUUCAAUAUGAAGAGACUAAACAAUACACAAAUACAGAAAAGUCCAAGAAAAACAGUGACACUGUUUCUAUUUCUUUGACACAAUUACUUGUAACUAUAAAAAGUUUUGAUCUGCUGAAAUUCAAGUCGGUGUAAUACUUUUUUGAGUUUAACCGUGAGGGCUUGGCUUAAAACGGACAAUAUAACACCAUAUUAAGAGUAUCUUUGAGCUGAUUUAGCCCAACAACUCUCCAUUCACAGGGAUCAUGUGUAUGUGUGUGAAAUUUCUAAAAAAGUUCAAGCUCUUCAGUUCAUCAAACCUAUUUGUUACCAUAAACAAUUAGAUGAAAGAGAAGACAUGAACUUAACAAAAUCUGCAAAUACCCAUUUGAAGAAUCACCCAAAUUUUGGCAAGAAACAAACCCUUUUAGCAUAUACCCUUGUACCUACCUUUAAUAACAGUACAUUAAGUUAGUUAUAACUAACUCUUCUUGAUAGACUAACUUGCCCUUUCUGUAACUAACUAACUAUUAACACUAAUGACACCUACUUUACAUCACAACAAGAAGCGCCUUCAAAUCCAAGUCUCUGAGCUAUGCCAAAUCCAAUACCUUGUGUAGAAGCUGUUACAAUCACCACUUUCCCUUCAAAUCUUUUCCCAAUUUUCUCCAUUUUUAUAUGAGUUCUGUGAUUAGAGAGAGAAAUAUGAGAUUUAGUUCUUCUUCUUCUUGGAUAGACGAUGACGACGUUGUGAAUUUAAUAAUCAAAUCAUUAAAAUCAUCGAUGUCAACCAUAAUUAGGCGGAAAAAUAUGUCAUGGCAUAGCUCAAAGGGUCUUUAAAG
rnacentral:lncRNA from 1 species